UACGGAGGAUGCAAGCGUUAUCCGGAAUGAUUGGGCGUAAAGCGUCCGCAGGUGGCAAUGUAAGUCUGCUGUCAAAGCGUCUGGCUCAACCAGAUAAAGGCAGUGGAAACUACAUAGCUAGAGUAAGGUAGGGGUAGAGGGAAUUCCUGGUGUAGCGGUGAAAUGCGUAGAGAUCAGGAAGAACAUCGGUGGCGAAAGCGCUCUGCUGGACCUUAACUGACACUGAGGGACGAAAGCUAGGGGAGCGAACAGG
rnacentral:rRNA from 1 species